rnacentral:misc_RNA from 1 species
GAUCAUAUGAAGCUUUCAGCAGUUAAAAAUUUAAUUAAGCAUCCGAGCAUAACAUUCGCCUUGUAGUUUGCAUACAAGAUAAGAUAUGUAGGCUCCUACUUUAAUAAGCUCAUAAUUAUUAUUCAGAUACAUAUUGUCUGGCAAAGAAAGAAAGAUGCGAAUACCAAACAAACAGUCCGUAGAGAGAAUGAAGAGAUGAAUCCAUAAGAGGGAGAAUGAAAGAUGUCCCAACAAAAGAAGAAGUUCAAAGUUGUUCAAAGUUCAAACAGAGGAUAAUUGUUAGAAACUCUGUGCAGUUGUAGCAAUUCAUUAUUAUGAGGCUUCAGCAUCAAUGAAAGUGAAGAAAGCACAGUAAAGCAUCUCUUCAUGUACCACAUCAGAUCAUGUAGCUUGAAAAAUCAUGGACUCUGAAAUAAGGACAAGAAACAAAAUAAACUUGACAUAGCAAAGCUAGAUUACAUGUAUUGGUGAUGUUCACUAAACUUGAUCGCAUGAAGCAAUUUCUGAAACCAUAAGCAUCCAAUUUAUUAAUGUAUAAUAUGCUUCUGUUAGGAAGUCCAAAAAAGCAUAAGCAGAUGGAGAGAAAAUGCGGAGAGAUAACUGCAGCAAAAAUGUUAUAUAUAUUACAAAAGUGACAGUGAAAAUCAAUAAAUAAAAGGAGAAUAUCCGCAUAAUAAUAGGUGAAGUUCUAACUUUGAUGAGAUGAAGCGAAUUUUGAAACCUUAAGCAUCCAAUUUAUUGAUGUUGAAGAUCAUAUACAGAAAGAGAAAAUGGGAAGAGAUACUGUAGAGGAAGGCAACACAUGUACACUUGUGAGUCACAAAAUGAAAUCACCUAUCCUUGCUUUAUACAGUUGCUUACAGGAGGGCUAAAUUCAGAGACACAAGAUUAGAGUAAGCAGUAAACACUGCCGAUCACUUCCUAGACCAUGUACACACCAGUCCGAGUAUGACCUCCCAGGAAGCCAUUUAGCAGCUACAUAAGGGCAUAAUACAUGCACUCGCCUCCCACCAUAAUGAAUACAGUACUUGCCAUUGUUGUAAACUUGAAAUAGACAAACAAAAAGAAAAACAAGAGGCAGAGGUGAGGAAAAAAUUGCAUGAGAUAUCUAUACUCAAAAUUCAAGCAGACACCAUUGUAGUUUCCACUUAUCUAAAAACCAUUGUAGUUUCCAGGCUGAAAGUACUACAGGUAUACCAACCAAUGUUCCCUUUGUACCUAGUACCUAAUGGUGGUAGUUUCCUUGAACAGAGUCAUAUUUGUAUCUGUGCGAUCAAAGCAAGUAACUGAUAGAAAAUAUCCACAUGGCACAGCACAAGGCAUAAAUUGGCUCAAGCUGGCACUGAUGGAUUUCACAAUAAAUUAGACAUUUAAGAAUCAUUCUGCAAUCAUAUAGAGGUUAUGCACAAUUUAAAACAUAUAUUACUUUUCUUAGAAUAGAAGAAACAUGCUGAAGUAAAUACCGAAAAAUAAGCUGAUGGUGAUCUGCACAUUCUGCAUCAGGUCAAUCAAUUCAUCAAAGCAGAUACUAAUACUGGCAUCACUCAUGUACAUAAACAUAGUUCUGUUUAGAAAAAUCUAAUCACCAACAAGGAAAGUAGGCUAAAAUUAGAGUGCCAAUUUGAAGUUAAAUUACUAAAAUAGUAAAUUUGAAGUUUGGUGCAAGUUGGAUUGCCUCCCCCCAUUGAAAAAUGAUAAGCAAAAAACGCUUCAUACACGAAUGAAUUAAUCCAUAGCAUAUAUAGAACACUUU